GCUGGGUGCAGUGGUGCACGCCUGUAAUCCCAGUGGCUCAGGAGGCUGAGGCAGGAGGAUUGCAAGUUCAAAGCCAGCCUCAGCAUCUU
rnacentral:sRNA from 1 species